AGAGUUUGAUCCUGGCUCAAUUGAACGCUGGCGGCGUGCUUAACACAUGCAAGUCGUGCGAGAAAGUCCGCUUCGGUGGAUGAGUACAGCGGCGCACGGGUGAGUAACGCGUGGAUGAUCUGCCCUCAUGAUCGGGAUAACAGUGGGAAACCGCUGCUAAUACCGGAUACGCUCUGUUUUCGACUUCAGGGGAAAGGCGGCCUCUGCUUGCAAGCUGUCGCAUGGGGAUGAGUCCGCGUCUCAUUAGCUUGACGGUGGGGUAACGGCCCACCGUGGCUACGAUGAGUAGCCGGCCUGAGAGGGUGGCCGGCCACACUGGGACUGGAACACGGCCCAGACUCCUACGGGAGGCAGCAGUGGGGAAUAUUGCGCAAUGGGCGAAAGCCUGACGCAGCGACGCCGCGUGAGGGGAAGAAGGCCUUCGGGUCGUAAACCUCUGUCAGGAGGGAAGAACCCCAUGGAUGCGAACAGCGUCUGUGGCUGACGGUACCUCCAGAGGAAGCACCGGCUAACUCCGUGCCAGCAGCCGCGGUAAUACGGAGGGUGCGAGCGUUAAUCGGAAUCACUGGGCGUAAAGCGCACGUAGGCGGCUUCGCAAGUCGGGCGUGAAAGCCCUCGGCUCAACCCGAGGAAUUGCGCUCGAAACUGCAGGGGCUGGAGUCCGGGAGAGGGGUGGGCGGAAUUUCCGGGUGUAGGAGUGAAAUCCGUAGAUAUCCGGAGGAACACCAGUGGCGAAAGCGGCCACCUGGACCGGUACUGACGCUGAGGUGCGAAAGCGUGGGGAGCAAACAGGA
rnacentral:rRNA from 1 species